CUGCUCUGCUGAAGUUUUGUGAGUGAGCCCAGGAUAGGGGUGGCACUUUGUAUCCAUUCUCUUUUCAGCAACAAACAACAAAGAAAAAGAUGUGUCCAGGACAGGAAAAACAUGCAAGCUGCAUAGUUCCACUACAGGAGGACACCACAAAUAGUUUAAUUGACAAAUUUCACCAUAUUAGAGGGAAAAUGUCUUCUGUAAUCCAGAAAAACAUGAAGGAGUGGUGCAGUACCCCUUCCUGAGCAGAGUGAACCUGUCUUUCAGCACUGCUGCUGCCCUCUGCCUUCCACCAGAUGAAGGCUGUGCCUUGGGCGUGCGCUCAGGUCAUAGCCUCUUACAGGCACAUGUUGUAUGGUGUAUUAACUACUAUGGGGCAUUUUAGCCUUCACACUCUUCUUGUUAGCUGGGGAGGGAACUCAGAGUGUCCAAGAUGACAAAUUUAGAGAAAUACAAAUUUCUUUUUUACUGAAUAAAUUACAUUAUACCUCGUGUACAUAGAUUACAAUGUAUUGAUAUAUUACUGAUUUUCAGCGAGCUAAGUCUGAUGAGACUGUGAUGAAAACUGCACCCUCCAGCACAAAUGUAAAGGACAAAAAUCAUCAGCUCUCUGGGGGAAGUAGCAGUACCAAGAGAGAGGAAG